UACGAAGGGAGCUAGCGUUGUUCGGAAUUACUGGGCGUAAAGGGCGCGUAGGCGGUCUGUCGCGUCAGGCGUGAAAGCCCUGGGCUCAACCCGGGAGGUGCGCUUGAAACGGAUGGGCUCGAGACCGGGAGAGGAGAGUGGAAUUCCCAGUGUAGAGGUGAAAUUCGUAGAUAUUGGGAAGAACACCGGUGGCGAAGGCGGCUCUCUGGCCCGGUUCUGACGCUGAUGCGCGAAAGCGUGGGGAGCAAACAGG
rnacentral:rRNA from 1 species